rnacentral:rRNA from 1 species
CCUACGGGUGGCAGCAGUGAGGAAUAUUGGUCAAUGGGCGCAAGCCUGAACCAGCCAAGUAGCGUGAAGGAUGACGGCCCUACGGGUUGUAAACUUCUUUUAUAAAGGAAUAAAGUGAGUCACGUGUGCCGUUUUGUAUGUACUUUAUGAAUAAGGAUCGGCUAACUCCGUGCCAGCAGCCGCGGUAAUACGGCGGGUCCGGGCGUUAUCCGGAUUUAUUGGGUUUAAAGGGAGCGUAGAUGGGUUGUUAAGUGUGUUGUGAAAGUUUGCGGCUCAACCGUAAAAUUGCAAUUGAUACUGGCAGUCUUGAGUACAGUUGAGGUAGGCGGAAUUCGUGGUGUAGCGGUGAAAUGCUUAGAUAUCACGAAGAACUCCGAUUGCGAAGGCAGCUUACUAAACUGCCACUGACAUUGAUGCUCGAAAGUGUGGGUAUCAAACAGGAUUAGAUACCCUUGUAGUC